GAUGAACGCUGGCGGCGUGCUUAACACAUGCAAGUCGAACGAUGAAGCCCAGCUUGCUGGGUGGAUUAGUGGCGAACGGGUGAGUAACACGUGAGUAACCUGCCCUUGACUCUGGGAUAAGCCUGGGAAACUGGGUCUAAUACUGGAUAUGACUUCUCAUCGCAUGGUGAGGGGUGGAAAGAUUUAUUGGUCUUGGAUGGACUCGCGGCCUAUCAGCUUGUUGGUGAGGUAAUGGCUCACCAAGGCGACGACGGGUAGCCGGCCUGAGAGGGUGACCGGCCACACUGGGACUGAGACACGGCCCAGACUCCUACGGGAGGCAGCAGUGGGGAAUAUUGCACAAUGGGCGCAAGCCUGAUGCAGCGACGCCGCGUGAGGGAUGACGGCCUUCGGGUUGUAAACCUCUUUCAGUAGGGAAGAAGCGAGAGUGACGGUACCUGCAGAAGAAGCGCCGGCUAACUACGUG
rnacentral:rRNA from 1 species